rnacentral:snoRNA from 1 species
UCCUCCUACAAAGGCACACCUGUAUUGGUCUGCUUGCAGGUGUGUAAGAACAGGAGGAACAUUCAAAUGA